rnacentral:rRNA from 1 species
AUUGAACGCUGGCGGCAUGCUUUACACAUGCAAGUCGAGCGGCAGCGCGGGGGCAACCCUGGCGGCGAGCGGCGGAGGGGUGAGUGAUGCAUCGGAACAUCUCCUCCUGUGGGGGAUAACGCAGUGAGGGAUGGGCUAAUACCGCAUGAGCUCUGAGGAGGAACGGGGGGGAGCUGCGGAUGCCUCGCGCUGGCGGGGCGGAAGAGGUCGGUUUAGCUUGUUGGUGGGGUAAGGGCUUACCAAGGCGACGAUCCGUAGCUGGACUUAGAGGAUGAUCAGCCACACUGGAGCUGAGACACGGACCAGACUCCUACGGGAGGCAGCAGUGGGGAAUUUUGGACAAUGGGGGCAACCCUGAUCCAGCCAUGCCGCGUGAGUGAAGAAGGCCUUCGGGUUGUAAAGCCCUUUCGGACGGAACGAAAUGGGCGGGACUAAUACUCCGGUCUGAUGACGGUACCGUAAGAAGAAGCACCGGCUAACUACGUG